GACGAACGCUGGCGGCGUGCUUGACACAUGCAAGUCGAACGGAAAGGCCUGCUUUCCCUUGUGGAUUGCGGGUACUCGAGUGGCGAACGGGUGAGUAACACGUGAGUGAUCUGCCCCCAACUUGGGUAUAAGCCUGGGAAACUGGGUCUAAUUCCCGAUAGGACUGCAGGGUGGUGCCUGUGGUGGAAAACGAUUUUCUAGUGGUUGGGGAUGAGCUCGCGGCCUAUCAGCUUGUUGGUGGGGUAAUGGCCUACCAAGGCGGCGACGGGUAGCCGGCCUGAGAGGGUGGACGGCCACAUUGGGACUGAGGUACGGCCCAGACUCCUACGGGAGGCAGCAGUGGGGAAUAUUGCACAAUGGGCGGAAGCCUGAUGCAGCGACGCCGCGUGGGGGAUGACGGCCUUCGGGUUGUAAACUCCUUUCGACCGCGAGGAAGCCACCUGGUUGGAAGGGUGGUGACGGUAGUGGUAGAAGAAGCACCGGCUAACUACGUG
rnacentral:rRNA from 1 species